rnacentral:sRNA from 1 species
UCACUGUUGCCCAGGCUGAAGUGUGGUGCUAUUUAUAGGCAUGAUCAUAGCUCGGGACCUACUUCCCUUGGGAAUCUCAAUACUUGAAACAAGAACCUCCUGGAUGGACCCUUCGGCAAAAUGAAUUGGACCAACUGUAGGUUCCAGGACUGGAGAGCCAGCAAUGCCUCCCUGGUCAAUCCCACCCAAUUACUCUGCUCAGGAAAUGAGGUAACUGACAGACAGCCAAGGCAGCCCCUUAGGCAGCUUAGGCCUCCCCUGUGGAGCAUCCCUGCCGGGGACUCUGGCCAGCCUGAGUGACGCGAUCCAAAGAGCACUCCGUGUAGGAAAUUGCCCUGGUGGAAUGCCUCACCAGAGCAGUGCGUAGCAGGCCCCUGCAGAGGAUUAACACAGUGGCUGAACACCGGGAAGGAACUGGCACUUGGAGUCUGGACAUCUGAAACUUGGUAAGACUAGUCUUUGGAACUUACCCCACUCCAUCUGAGUGGAAGCGUGGCCUGAUAACCCAUGACGUG